rnacentral:rRNA from 1 species
GACGAACGCUGGCGGCGUGCUUAACACAUGCAAGUCGAACGGGUCUGCCCUGCUUUUUGCGGGGUGGGUCAGUGGCGACCGGGUGAGUAACACGUGAGUAACCUGCCCCUCACUUCUGGAUAACCGCUUGAAAGGGUGGCUAAUACGGGGUGUUCUGGCUGUGCCGCAUGGUGUGGCUGGGAAAGAUUCCCUUUUGUGGUGUUUUGGCGGCUGAUGGGCUGGCGGCUUAUCAGCUUGUUGGGGGGGUGAUGGCCUGGGAGGGCUUGGGCGGGUCGCCGGCCUUGGAGGGUAGGCGGCCAGAGUGGGUCUGAGGUACGGACGGGACUGCUGCGGGGGGCAGCAGUGGGGGGUAGGGCACAAUGGGGGGAAGCCUGAUGCGGCGGCGGCGCGUGAGGGAUGGAGGCCUGCGGGUUGUGAAGGUCUUUCGCCGGUGAAGAAGGUCCUGCUCUUUGGGAGGGGGUUGACGGUAGCCGGGUGAAGAAGCGCCGGCUAACUACGUG